GAGGAGGCAGUGUCAGCAGGAACAUCCAGAACCUAACACGAUGGCAGUCUGGAAGAAUGCUGCAGAGGAGGAAGGAUGCACGGAUGAGCAAAUGGAUUUCUUGCCUCCAUCACUAGCAAGAGAAUGUGAAAUUGCACCCAUUGGAGCCAGAGACAACGGAUGAGCAAGAACUGCACCGCUUGCUUACAGGGAAUAUGCAGCUGACUCCAUCCUGCCAUUCAGAAGGUGGAAAAAUCCUCCUGUUGAACAAGGUGGAGAUUGAGGGCCUCACAUAUCACCUAAUCUACCUCGCUAGGCUCGCCAGCAUGACAGCAAAUUGUAUUUCUGCUCCAAGUAGUAUAGAAGGUGACUGCCAGUGAGAUCUGCUCUCUACAGACCUACAGCAAUUCUUCCAGAGGCCUCCUCUCCAAAUGCAGAAUAAUUUUCUAAGGGAUUGAUGGCGAUUGCCAAAACCUUUCUGCCCUGAAGCCAGCAACUGGAAACGUUUCCGUUUCUCCUCUGGAUCUGACCCGAAGUCCCGGGACCCGAUGCCAUUCUGAAGAUUUAUUAGUGAAUCCUUCAUCUGCAAGACAAGAAAUUUCUCCACUGUGAUGCUACCCUAUAGGUGAGAGCGCUUCAGGAUUUCCUUCCUCAUUGGUGCCUCCUCCGUCCAUGUAAAGUAUCAAUACCAGAAUCAUCUGGUUUUUGGGAACAGCGUGUCAGGGCUUGGAUGUACAAAUGGGGACUGAGGAGACAGGAGCCCAUGAGAGACCAUCCCCCAAGAUAACAGAGAAGGGGCGAGCAGAAUGAGGUACAGGGUGAGCGGCUCUCUCCAUAGGGGAGAGCGGCUUUCAUUUAUGAACCCUGUUCCUAGCAGCCUGGUGUACAAGCAGCUCUUCAGGCAGCGGAUACCAAAACCCCUGGCUUUGUGCUAUUAAGGGCCCACGCAGAGCAUGUCCCCCGCUUCAUCCAGGCAAGCUAUGUAUGAAUCCAGGGUUGAGAAUUCUAUCCUUGACAUGUGCAGACCCCUGUGAGGUGACGGAGAAGCUGCGGUAUCCUGCAAAUAACCCUUGGGACCUGCUGCCCACUGCUAAGCCAGAAGACGGAUCUAGAGGGAGGUAGUAGUGGAGGUGAUGCACCUGAGGGACUACAGUGGAACCAGCAACUAGCUGGGUUGCUGCUGCAAACCUCUGCAGUCUUCAUCCUCCCAGGAAAAGGAAAUGCAGAAAGGAGCUCAGUUUGAAAAGUAACCUCAGUCUGCAAAUCUCAGCUUCUUCCCACCUGACUGAAAAAUGGAAAUCAUCUCUAAACGGUCCAGCUUCUUUCUGAGAUGGUAUCUCUCAUCAAAAUCGCCACCCAGGACCAGACCUGAAUAGGUUUUCCCAGACCAGAGGAAAGAAGUGACAGACUUCUCACAUACGCUGAGCCCUGUUGUGAUAGCACAGUAACUCCCAGAGAGCUUUGCGUGGUCAUCUUUCAUGAUAAGAGCUAGUUUGUUGGCAGAUUACAUUAAAUGACUUAUUUUAAAUUAAAGGACCCCCACAGUUCCUAGAAACCUCUAAACUGAGUCCCUGAAAUAAAAAAGACACUCUCUACUUGUUGGAUUUC